AACGUAGGUGGCGAGCGUUAUCCGGAUUUACUGGGCGUAAAGCGUGUGCAGGCGGGGGUUCAAGUGGUGUAUGAAAUCGCUCGGCUUAACCGGGCGCGGUUAUGCCAGACUGAAACUCUGGAGUGCGGGAGAGGGGCGUGGAAUUCCGGGUGUAGUGGUGAAAUGCGUAGAGAUCCGGAGGAACCCCAGAGGCGAAGGCGGCGCCCUGGCCCGACACUGACGCUCAGACACGACAGCAUGGGGAGCGAACGGG
rnacentral:rRNA from 1 species